rnacentral:rRNA from 1 species
GCANUGGGGGAACCCUGAUGCAGCGACGCCGCGUGAGCGAUGAAGCCCUUCGGGGUGUAAAGCUCUUUCGGCAGGGAAGAUUAUGACGGUACCUGCAGAAGCAGCUGCGGCUAACUACGUGCCAGCAGCCGCGGUAAUACGUAGGCAGCAAGCGUUGUUCGGAGUUACUGGGCGUAAAGGGUGUGUAGGUGGCGCGCUAAGUUCCGUGUGAAAUCUCCCGGCUCAACCGGGAGGGUGCGCGGAAAACUGGCGGGCUAGAGUACGGGAUGGGAGAGUAGAAUUCCUGGUGUAGCGGUGAAAUGCGUAGAUAUCAGGAGGAAUACCGGUGGUGUAGACGGCUCUCUGGACCGUAACUGACACUGAAACACGAAAGCGUGGGUAGCAAACAGGAUUAGAUACCCUGGUAGUCCACGCCCUAAACGAUGCAUAUUUGGUGUAGGUCAUUCAGUUGAUCUGUGCCGGAGCUAACGCGUUAAAUAUGCCGCCUGGGGAGUACAGUCGCAAGGCUGAAACUCAAAGAAAUUGACGGA